AUUGAACGCUGGCGGCAGGCUUAACACAUGCAAGUCGAGCGGGGGAAGGUAGCUUGCUACCGGACCUAGCGGCGGACGGGUGAGUAAUGCUUAGGAAUCUGCCUAUUAGUGGGGGACAACAUCUCGAAAGGGAUGCUAAUACCGCAUACGUCCUACGGGAGAAAGCAGGGGAUCUUCGGACCUUGCGCUAAUAGAUGAGCCUAAGUCGGAUUAGCUCGUUGGUGGGGUAAAGGCCUACCAAGGCGACGAUCUGUAGAGGGUCUGAGAGGAUGAGCCGCCACACUGGGACUGGGACCAGGCCCAGACUCCUGCGGGAGGCAGCAGUGGGGAAUAUUGGACAAUGGGGUGAACCCUGAUCAAGCCAUGCCGCGUGUGUGAAGAAGGCCUUAUGGUUGUAAAGCACUUUAAGCGAGGAGGAGGCUACUUUAGUUAAUACCUAGAGAUAGUGGACGUUACUCGCAGAAUAAGCACCGGCUAACUCUGUGCCAGCCGCCGCCGUAA
rnacentral:rRNA from 1 species